rnacentral:rRNA from 1 species
GAUGAACGCUAGCGACAGGCCUAACACAUGCAAGUCGAGGGGCAGCACGGGUAGCAAUACCUGGUGGCGACCGGCGCAAGGGUGCGUAACGCGUGAGCAACAUGCCCUAUACAGGGGGAUAAUCCAGGGAAACUUGGUCUAAUAUCCCAUAGUAUUUAGAGGAGGCAUCUUCUAUAAAUUAAAGCUUCGGUGGUAUAGGAUUGGCUCGCGUGACAUUAGCUAGAUGGUGAGGUAACGGCUCACCAUGGCAAUGAUGUCUAGGGGUUCUGAGAGGAAGGCCCCCCACACUGGGACUGAGACACGGCCCAGACUCCUACGGGAGGCAGCAGUGAGGAAUAUUGGACAAUGGAUGGAAAUCUGAUCCAGCCAUGCCGCGUGCAGGAAGACAGCCCUAUGGGUUGUAAACUGCUUUUAUAUGGGAGCAAUAAGGUCUACGUGUAGACUGAUGAGAGUACCAUAUGAAUAAGCAUC